rnacentral:rRNA from 1 species
UACGUAGGGCGCAAGCGUUAUCCGGAAUUAUUGGGCGUAAAGAGCUCGUAGGCGGUUUGUCGCGUCUGCCGUGAAAAUCCGAGGCUCAACCUCGGACUUGCAGUGGGUACGGGCAGACUAGAGUGUGGUAGGGGAGACUGGAAUUCCUGGUGUAGCGGUGGAAUGCGCAGAUAUCAGGAGGAACACCGAUGGCGAAGGCAGGUCUCUGGGCCAUUACUGACACUGAGGAGCGAAAGCGUGGGGAGCGAACAGG